rnacentral:rRNA from 1 species
CCUACGGGAGGCAGCAGUGGGGAAUAUUGGACAAUGGGGGCAACCCUGAUCCAGCCAUGCCGCGUGUGUGAAGAAGGCCCUCGGGUUAUAAAGCACUUUCAGUGAGGAAGAACGCCUGGUGGUUAAUACCCAUCAGGAAAGACAUCACUCACAGAAGAAGCACCGGCUAACUCCGUGCCAGCAGCCGCGGUAAUACGGAGGGUGCGAGCGUUAAUCGGAAUUACUGGGCGUAAAGCGCGCGUAGGUGGCUUGAUAAGCCGGUUGUGAAAGCCCCGGGCUCAACCUGGGAACGGCAUCCGGAACUGUCAAGCUAGAGUGCAGGAGAGGAAGGUAGAAUUCCCGGUGUAGCGGUGAAAUGCGUAGAGAUCGGGAGGAAUACCAGUGGCGAAGGCGGCCUUCUGGACUGACACUGACACUGAGGUGCGAAAGCGUGGGUAGCAAACAGGAUUAGAUACCCGUGUAGUC